rnacentral:rRNA from 1 species
AAUAACAAUUACUAAUAUAAAUAUAUGGUCACGAAGGGGUCUGAGCUAAAAAGUUUAAACGUUUUAGCAAAUAAUCUACAUGUAGCAUAAUGUAAACAACAAAACUUUUUAGGGGUGAUAUACCUGUCAAAGAUUCCGAUAUCUUGAUAUGGGCUAAAAAUAUUUAGUAUUAAGUCAACUUUAAAGCGAUAAGGUUUUAAGGAAAUAUAAUAAGAGUUAAAUAACAAACGAAUUGUUUAAUAAUAAUUGUGCAAGUUAUACUAUCAUAUAAAUUGAUUAAUAUAUUAUUUUAUCCCAUGAUAACUUCAACACUAUUGUUUAUAAAUAAUGUUAUUAUUAGUAUACAAAUUUAUUGUAGUUUAGGAACUCGGCAAGUUUAUUACUCGACUGUUUAUCAAAAACAUAGCCCCAUGUAGUAAUAUUGGGUUCUCCCUGCUCACUGAUAUAUUAAAUAGCCGCAGUACUUUGACUGUGCAAAGGUAGCAUAAUCAUUUGGCUUAUAAUUGAAGUCUGGUAUGAAUGGGUACACGGGUAAGCACUAUCUUAGCUAUAAGAAUAGAAUUUACUUAAUAAGUGAAAAUACUUAUAUACAUAAAAAAGACGAGAAGACCCUAGAAAUUUUGUAUAAUUAUAUUUAAAUAAUCUAUUUUGUUGGGGCGACAGGGUAACAAUUAACUUACCUAUAAUAUGUGACCUUAUUGCAUAGCAUAAAAAAAUUACUCUAGGGAUAACAGCAUAAUACUAUAGAGUUUGUGACCUCGAUGUUGGACUAGGGUAGCUAGUGUUUAGAAGAUACUAGUGAAGGUUCUGUUCGAGCUUUUAACCCCUACAUGAUCUGAGUUCAGACCGG